UGGGAGAGGUAGGUGGAAUUCUCGGUGUAGGGGUAAAAUCCGUAGAGAUCAAGAGGAAUACUCAUUGCGAAGGCGACCUGCUGGAACAUUACUGACGCUGAUUGCGCGAAAGCGUGGGGAGCAAACAGGAUUAGAUACCCUGGUAGUCCACGCCCUAAACGAUGGAUGCUAGUUGUUGGAGGGCUUAGUCUCUCCAGUAAUGCAGCUAACGCAUUAAGCAUCCCGCCUGGGGAGUACGGUCGCAAGAUUAAAACUCAAAGGAAUAGACGGGGACCCGCACAAGCGGUGGAGCAUGUGGUUUAAUUCGAAGAUACACGAAGAACCUUACCUAGGCUUGACAUUGAGAGAAUCCGCUAGAAAUAGUGGAGUGUCUGGCUUGCCAGACCUUGAAAACAGG
rnacentral:rRNA from 1 species